UACGUAGGGUGCAAGCGUUAAUCGGAAUUACUGGGCGUAGAGCGUGCGCAGGCGGUGAUGUAAGACAGAUGUGAAAUCCCCGGGCUCAACCUGGGAACUGCAUUUGUGACUGCAUAGCUAGAGUACGGUAGAGGGGGAUGGAAUUCCGCGUGUAGCAGUGAAAUGCGUAGAUAUGCGGAGGAACACCGAUGGCGAAGGCAAUCCCCUGGACCUGUACUGACGCUCAUGCACGAAAGCGUGGGGAGCAAACAGG
rnacentral:rRNA from 1 species